rnacentral:rRNA from 1 species
GACGAACGCUGGCGGCGUGCUUAACACAUGCAAGUCGAACGGAAAGGCCCUGCUUUCGUGGGGUGCUCGAGUGGCGAACGGGUGUGUAACACGUGAGUAACCUGCUCUUGACUUUGGUAUAACUUCAGGACACUGUGGCUAAUACCGGAUAGGAGCUCCUGCUGCAUGGUGGUGGUUGGAAAGUUUCGGCGGUUGGGGAUGGACUCGCGGCUUAUCAGCUUGUUGGUGGGGUAGUGGCUUACCAAGGCUUUGACGGGUAGCCGGCCUGAGAGGGUGACCGGCCACAUUGGGACUGAGAUACGGCCCAGACUCCUACGGGAGGCAGCAGUGGGGAAUAUUGCACAAUGGGCGGAAGCCUGAUGCAGCAACGCCGCGUGCGGGAUGACGGCCUUCGGGUUGUAAACCGCUUUCGCCUGUGACGAAGCGUGAGUGACGGUAAUGGGUAAAGAAGCACCGGCUAACUACGUG